AACGAACGCUGGCGGCGUGUUUAAGACAUGCAAGUCGCACGGGACUAUUUGAGUAGCAAUACAAGAAUAGUCUAGUGGCGCACGGGUGAGUAACACGUGAAUUACAUGCCCUGCAGAGGGGGAUAGCCCAGGGAAACUUGGAUUAAUACCCCAUGGUAUCGCGAGAUUAAAGGUGGCCGCAAGGCUGUCGCUGCAGGAUUGGUUCGCGCCCUAUCAGCUUGUUGGUGAGGUAACGGCUCACCAAGGCUACGACGGGUACCUGGUCUGAGAGGGCGAUCAGGCACACUGGAACUUAGACACGGUCCAGACACCUACGGGUGGCAGCAGUCGAGAAUAAUUCACAAUGGGGGCAACCCUGAUGGUGCAACGCCGCGUGGAGGAUGAAGGUCUUCGGAUCGUAAACUCCUGUCAUCCGGGAGUAAGACCUGGCGAUGAAUAGUCGACAGGGUUGAUAGUACCGGAAGAGGAAGGGACGGCUAACUUCGUGCCAGCCGCCGCCGUAAUAC
rnacentral:rRNA from 1 species